rnacentral:rRNA from 1 species
CAGCAGCCGCGGUAAUACGAAGGGUGCAAGCGUUAAUCGGAAUUACUGGGCGUAAAGCGUGCGCAGGCGGUUUGUUAAGACAGAUGUGAAAUCCCCGGGCUCAACCUGGGAACUGCAUUUGUGACUGGCAAGCUAGAGUGUGGCAGAGGGGGGUGGAAUUCCGCGUGUAGCAGUGAAAUGCAUAGAUAUGCGGAGGAACACCGAUGGCGAAGGCAGCCCCCUGGGCCAACACUGACGCUCAUGCACGAAAGCGUGGGGAGCAAACAGGAUUAGAUACCCCGGUAGUCCCUGUCUCUUAUAC